rnacentral:antisense_RNA from 1 species
GAACUCCUUACCCCAGCUGCCUGGCUGCCCUCAGCUUCCCAAAGCUCAAAUAAGAGGGGCCGGCGGCGCGGGGAGGAGGAGGAGCCAGGAGGCUCGGCAGCUCCAUUCACUCAGCAGCCCAAGCCCGGCCAGGCAGCGCGCGCUGCUCCUUGGGGGCGCCCUCGCAGACGGGGUGGGGGCGGGUCCGAGGGAGCGUCCCUCUCGGAGACACCCUCCUCUUCAACCCAACACGCACUCUCAGCUGGCCGGUGUGGCACAACCCUCCCCCCACCUCCCCUUCUUGGCCUUCGCCAGUGUGGGAGCCUCGUCUCACUGGAGAGUCCGUUCAGCUUGCAUUGCAUAAACGUUGUCGCCAUUAAAUUCUGGCUGCGGACCCGAAGUGUGUGCGGGCCCAGGACUUACUCGAAGGGCGCACUUCUUGGGGAUGCGCAUCCCGUAGGCGCAGGAGACCCUGAGGAAUCCUUGUGGGGGCGGGGAGGGGAAGAGCACCGGUGCGAACCCCGGGGUGCCCCCUCGACCGACUUGGACUUCUCCGACUGAAGAGGUGGGAGGAGUUCCCUGCAGCCUGCGGGGCCAAGAAGAAAGUGCUAAGCUCAGGAGCCGCAGUCGGAGGACCCCGGGGACCCUACAGGAAGUCUCCGUACGACCCCCACGGAUCCACAUGCCCGGAAGCCCAGGCGACACUAAGCCAGCGCUGGGGAACUGACGUACUCCUGCAGUCGCAGGGCGCUCCAUGCCUCUCUCUCCUCUUCUUUCUUGUGGGUAACGUUCUCUGCGGGAGACCUGAAGUUAUCCAAGGGGGAUCGCGCCAGCUACACUGGCCUUGGCGCCCUGAGCUAAGCACUAGGACUCACCGCCUAGCACGAAGGCAGGUAGCACCUUCACCCGCCGCGGACGAUAGGCACUCUCCUGUACCUCCUUUAGCUCCCGAGGCCCGCCCUUCAGGAGGUCCCAGGGAAAAGCAGGCUGUGGAAAACCUGGCGCUCCCUUCUUUCACCCACCUUCUUACCCCAGUCAGCGCCGAGAUCUGUGGCAGAGGUUCCUGGUCUGAACCACCGAUUGGCAAAGAAAGCUGCAGAUUAAACUUCUCGUUUUACAGAGAAGGAAACUGAGGCCCAGACAGCCGAAGGAGAGGCAGUCUAUGGAGGGCAGCGGUAAAGAGCAAGGGGUUGGUGGCCCCAGAAUGGAACCUCAGCUCUGCCAGGUAACCAACAGCUGUGUGACCCUAGACGAGUUCCGCAGUCUCUCUGAGCCUCAGUUUCCUUACUAGUCAAACGGGAUAAUGGGAUACUAGCGCCCACCUCAUAGAGUUGUUCUGAGG